rnacentral:rRNA from 1 species
GUCAACGGCCAUGCUACCCUGAACAAGCCCGAUCUGGUCUGAUUUCUGAAGCUAAGCAGGGUCGGGCCUAGUUAGUACUUGGAUGGAAGGCCACCUAGGAAGACCAGGUGCUGUAGGCG